UGAUGGCAGUGAUGAUGAUUUUAUAUUGAUUCUCACCCGAUUUACAAAUAUGAGGGUAUAUAGUCACUACCUCAUCUGAUGCCAUCU
ensembl:snoRNA SNORD11B small nucleolar RNA, C/D box 11B